GAUGAACGCUAGCGGCAGGCCUAAUACAUGCAAGUCGAGGGAGAAUGUUGGAUUCGUCUGACAUGAAACCGGCGCACGGGUGCGUAACACGUAUGCAACCUACCUUUAACUGGGGUAUAGCUCAGAGAAAUCUGAAUUAAUCCUCCAUAAGACUACGACAUGGCAUCAUGAUGUAGUUAAAGCUCCGGCGGUUAAGGAUGGGCAUGCGGUACAUUAGCUAGUUGGUGAGGUAAUGGCUCACCAAGGCUACGAUGUAUAGGGGGUCUGAGAGGAUGAUCCCCCACACUGGUACUGAGACACGGACCAGACUCCUACGGGAGGCAGCAGUAGGGAAUAUUGGUCAAUGGACGCAAGUCUGAACCAGCCAUGCCGCGUGAAGGAUGAAGGCCCUAUGGGUCGUAAACUCCUUUUAUUAGGGAAGAAAAAACGGGAUGCGUCCUGUACUGACGGUACUUAAUGAAUAAGGAUCGGCUAACUUCGUGCCAGCCGCCGCGGUAA
rnacentral:rRNA from 1 species